rnacentral:rRNA from 1 species
AGUCACUGACAUUAGAUACCCCCGGUAGUCCAGGGUGUAAACGCUGCAGACUUGGUGUUGGAGGCCCUUUGGGGCAUUCAGUGCCGGAGAGAAGUUGUUAAGUCUGCUACUUGGGGAGUACGUCCGCAAGGAUGAACUUAAAGGAAUUGGCGGGGGAGCACCGCAACGGGAGGAGCGUGCGGUUUAAUUGGAUUCAACACCGUAAAACUCACCAGGGAAGACUGUUACAUGAAGGCCGAGAUGAAGACUCUGCUAGAUUUUCAG